rnacentral:rRNA from 1 species
AACGAACGCUGGCGGCAUGCCUAACACAUGCAAGUCGAACGAGACCUUCGGGUCUAGUGGCGCACGGGUGCGUAACGCGUGGGAACCUGCCCUUAGGUUCGGAAUAACUCCCCGAAAGGGGUACUAAUACCGGAUAAUGUCUUCGGACCAAAGAUUUAUCGCCUUUGGAUGGGCCCGCGUUGGAUUAGCUAGUUGGUAGGGUAAAAGCCUACCAAGGCGACGAUCCAUAGCUGGUCUGAGAGGAUGAUCAGCCACACUGGGACUGAGACACGGCCCAGACUCCUACGGGAGGCAGCAGUGGGGAAUAUUGGACAAUGGGCGAAAGCCUGAUCCAGCAAUGCCGCGUGAGUGAUGAAGGCCUUAGGGUUGUAAAGCUCUUUUACCCGGGAUGAUAAUGACAGUACCGGGAGAAUAAGCUCCGGCUAACUCCGUG